AUGCUCUUAAGGAAUCACUAGGAUCACUUCCAAAGCCUCCAGGAGUUUCAUUCCCUGGGGAACAACAUUCUAGCACACGCUACGCCAUCAGAUCCUGUUGUUGCACAACAGCAUCUCUUGUCAGCCGAUGGCCUCGAAUGGCACCAAGACAUGUAUGUCUUGAUUCUCCAACCAGUCUGUCUGGUGCACAGGCAAUGGAACGUGGACUGGAACGGAAGGCCUGGGGUUUGUAUUCCAGCUUGGACACUUAAUAACCAUGGACCUCAGAGAAGUUACUGUAUCUCUUUUUGCCCGAGUUUUCUCAUCUAUAAAAAGAGGAUACUGACUAUCUCAAAAAGCUGUUGUGAGGAUUAAAUGAAUGGUGAUGCACUUAAAAUAGGGCUUGGCACAUGAGAAGGGCCAUGUAAGUAAAUAUUAGCUUUGCUGCUGCUACUGUUCAGAUGUGCUCAGGCCAGACUAGGAUGAGGAGGUCCUGGCCUGUACGAUGCCCGGCAGAGCUCUUCAUCUGUCUGAGGAUACUUAGGAGUCCUCCCUUCUGUGUCUCCAGGCUAAGUCAUCUCCACAUCGUGGUUUCCUUCAAAAGGAGGUGGUGGGAGGAAAGGACUCCAAAGGACAGGGACAUUUCUCUGGAGGGAGGUGGCACAUGCUUGCCUCCUGCUGUGUACCAGGCACUUUGGCAUGCCCUCUGUAGACUCUUUCCCAUAGACCUAUAGUUGGUGCCAUCCUCCACGUCUUUUCUGUUCCUGGACUUCCAUGAGAAAUUGGGCAUAUCCCCGUGCAUGUAACUUCUGUGGCCGGUGAAAUGCAGAGGUGAUGUGUGCCAUGGCUGGCAGGAACUUCCAGAGCUAAUGGGUAAGUCGCCACAUGCCCCUUUUCCAAUUUCAGUAACUGUGAAACUAUGGAGCGCCUGAGUAAGUAGAACAUGAGCAAGAGUGCCCAGCCAAUACCCAGUGGAAAGUGUGGCAGAGAGGAAAAUAAACUUGUUGUUUUAGCCACUGAAAUUUUGCUUCAUACUCCAGCAAAGGCUGCCCCUAUCCGGCUAAAACAAACUCCUAGAUGUUGACACAUACUUGAAUUUUUGCAUCUAGCAAGAAUUUGCAGAUCUUGGAUUCCAAGCUAGAGCCUGGGUUGGGUAUAGUAAGGGUGGGCACAUCCUAUUUGUAACUGCUCUCACUUUUUACCUCCUUCUCACUUCCUCUCUCCUGAUCAGUAUCUAGUAAACAAGGGGAGGAAACUUGCCCUCAGGACUCUUCUCCAGCUGGCAUAGUCUUGCAGAAACUUGAGCAACUAUUUCCACUCUGGAUCUAUUUCUUGCUAAAUCUCUGAUUCUUGCAGAAUGUUGGGGGAAGAAGGAAACCCAUAAAACCACUGUCUGGUCUCUGUUUGCUGGCUGAAUCCCCUUUACCUCGUCUCCUUAUCUACUUUGCUUGAAUCAUUCUAGGGACAGGAAACUUACCAGCCUCAUCAUAAAUGGACACAGAGCUGGGCUAUGAGAAGUGACAGUCCCUAUGCUACUAGACUUAGGGUUUGACUUACCUGAAAGGUGAAUGAUUUUGAAGAUCCUUACUUUGUAGGAUGGCCUUAUAGUUGACCAUCCUAACCAGGACACAUGUAAGAAUGAAAGUUGGUGCUAGUAACAAUCAUAUUGGAACAAUAGGUUUAAAACCAAACUAUCUUGGGUAAACUGGGAGGUACUGCUGCUUGGCUUCUAUGAUCCUGUGACCACCAACAAAUGGUAAAAUUAAAUUCCAUGGGCAGGACUGCAUCCCAGUUUUGGUCACUAACUUUGACUUUUGGUCUAUUCCUUUCCCCAAAUCUGGAUGAUUUCCCAUUCUUUAAACCAACUCUCUUGUGAGCAUGUUGGUCCCAAAGCUAUUUCAGAGGGGAAGGAGUUACAUAGGACUAUAAUUUCAAGCAAAUUUCCCCCAUAGGUGCUUCAUAUUCCUAACUACUAUCUUGAUCAAAUGCAUAUUUAAUGCUUUUUGAUGGAGACACAGAUGCAAACUGCUCAGCCCUUCCUAGAACUUCAGAGAGCUGCCAGGUCCCAGUACAGUUCUGUGACAGCCAGUGGAAUGCCUGAAGCUACGCUCACUCAGUGCCCUCACAAGACCCGGACUCUCAGGAAACUUACUCACAAGCCCACUGAGCCACCCAGGCACCCCUUCGUUGACCGUUCUUGAAACUGGCUCCUGGUUCCCAUUGCAAGAGUUCCUGCAAAAGGAAAAAGUGAAACACAAGGUAAAGCAUCCAGAGAUUUCAUCUUCUGAAUCAGAAGGAAACUUUCAGAGGAAGGGGAUGUGAAAGAGGGUGAUCAGCUUUUGCUUUUUGGAUCAUUUGCCUUUGACUGGUCUUACAAACCCAAAUAAAGGGCAGGAAAGUAGAUUCUCCAAUAUGCCAGUGGCCAAAGGAAACAUUUCCCACUGACCCACAAAUGUCCAGCUUUACCCUGUGAAGGAGGCUCUGAUAUACACCCAUUUCAUUGAUGAAGUAACCGAGCCAGAGACUCAGGAUUUUACCCAUGGCUACCCAAGCUGUAAUGAGUUGAGCCAUACGUACUUACCAACCCCAACAACAGGCUGGUAAUUUAACUCAAGACAUUUUUACUGAACAUGUACUAGGUGGCAGGCACCAUGCUGAGCAACAUGGGGAUCCAAAGCACUAAAAUGUGAAUGGGGCCUCCUGGAUUUGCCAACGCAAUGUUCCUGCCGCCACCCCCCGCCCCCAAUUCCCUCACCCUUGCCAUGUAUGUGGUUAACAGUGGAAACUUCAUGUUUAUUCAGAGACACCAUUCUCUCCCUGCCUGCCUUCAUCAUUAUUGACUAGAUCACAGCUAACACUUGACCCAAACUCCAAUUUGAAAUGGCUCAAAUUUGCUGGUUGCUUUCUUCAGUGGAAGAGACAUAAACUCGGGCUGAUGAAGGAAGUCGUUUUCUACCAUUUGACCUGGAAAGCAGUGGAACUGAGGUCAGAAGGAAUCCACUCACUGCCUUUCUGUGCCUCAGUUUUACUAACCACACCAUGGGAUGGAGUGCCCCAAGCAGGAGCUGGGUGUGUAAAGGACACAGCUUGAUACACAGCAUGUACCUUGUGAAAAUUACUUCUCUUAUUUUGAAGAUUCCUCUUUCACAAGUGACUCCAGUGCCAAAUAGCUUUCCCCCGACACAGGAAUUAUGCCGAUACCACAGCUCUGUCUCCUCUUUGCUUGAGCUCCAU